rnacentral:rRNA from 1 species
UACGGGGGGGGCAAGCGUUGUUCGGAAUUACUGGGCGUAAAGGGCGCGUAGGCGGGAUGGCAAGUCGGUCGUGAAAUCCUUCGGCUCAACCGAAGAACGUCGAUCGAUACUGCUGUUCUUGAGGGUUGCAGAGGAGACUGGAAUUCCCGGUGUAGCGGUGAAAUGCGCAGAUAUCGGGAGGAACACCGGUGGCGAAGGCGGUUCUCUGGGCCUUACCUGACGCUGAGGAGCGAAAGCGUGGGGAGCGAACAGG